AGUGAACGCUGGCGGUAGGCCUAACACAUGCAAGUCGAACGGCAGCACAGUAAGAGCUUGCUCUUACGGGUGGCGAGUGGCGGACGGGUGAGGAAUACAUCGGAAUCUACUUUUUCGUGGGGGAUAACGUAGGGAAACUUACGCUAAUACCGCAUACGACCUACGGGUGAAAGCAGGGGAUCUUCGGACCUUGCGCGAUUGAAUGAGCCGAUGUCGGAUUAGCUAGUUGGCGGGGUAAAGGCCCACUAAGGCGACGAUCCGUAGCUGGUCUGAGAGGAUGAUCAGCCACACUGGAACUGAGACACGGUCCAGACUCCUACGGGAGGCAGCAGUGGGGAAUAUUGGACAAUGGGCGCAAGCCUGAUCCUGCCAUACCGCGUGGGUGAAGAAGGACUUCGGGUUGUAAAGCCCUUUUGUUGGGAAAGAAAAGCAGCAGGUUAAUACCCCGAUGUUCUGACGGUACCCAAAGAAUAAGCACCGGCUAACUUCGUG
rnacentral:rRNA from 1 species